rnacentral:lncRNA from 1 species
UGGUUCUGCUUCUCGUUUCGUGAUCCAUCGACGACUGUGGUUUAGGUUUAGGUAUAGAUUUCACCAUGUCAGAUUCCGAUUCUUCCUCUUAUGGCGGCGAAUACAAAAACCUCAAACAAUUAGUCGCGAGAGUAAGUUCUUUUCUUCUUGUGGUAUGAUUGUUGAACUUGUUCCGUUUAUUCUUCUCUUUUUUUUUGUUGUCUUCGCGUUGUAAGCGAAUGCUAUUCAGUGUAUUCUCAUGGUUUUGAUUUGAGUGUCGGCAUUAUUAACUUCACUUUGCUCUUCACACAUUGGUUCUGUUUUAGUUAACACUAGUAUAAUUUGUGUUUUGGCGCUGUAAUUUUUUGUUUGGUUUCUCUGCAGUUUGAUUAGUUAACACUAGAAGAAAUGUGCAAUUCAAAGUCAUGACUAGUGUCUCAAAAUGCGAGCUGUGCGAACCAGUUUUGCAAGAUUUUAAGUUAUGCCGAUUAGAAUCUUCUAACAUAAGUCCCAGGAUCAAGAUUUAGUGUCUUCCUCUUUCUAGUUCAGGAAAUUUCUUCUUCUUCUCUGUUUCACUAAUGCAUAUUCUCUUCACCAAUUCUGCAAGUAAUAUUUGGUUAAUUCUAGUUGUGGAUACGAUGUUCUGCCAUAUUGAAUGGAGAAGUUAUCUGAGGAUAUAUUGCAAUGGACAUGUUUCAGAAAUAGACAAUGUGUUAGAGUAAUGUAUCUUGUUAUAACACUUCUUUGAUGAUGUUAAAUAUAGGAACCAUCUGCAGAUGGUAUGUUUCAGGAGUUUUCCAUCUCUUUGAAACUCCAAAUUUUUUGACACCUUAUUGGCUGUAUGUUCUGAAUUCCUUUUGCUUGUCUCCGUUAUUGCCCAUAUUCCUCUCUGUAAUUAGAAUUUGGACUAAAGACUUCUUUGUGAUGCACACCUAGAAGCAAAGUUCUGGUUCCCAACAGUAUUGCCCACUUUCUUUAUUCCUGCUAGUCUACUUUGAAAGUCCUUGCUCCCCAUGUAAAUUUUUUCAUUUAAACUUCACAACUAAGUAUGUUCAAUUGAAUCAACAACAACAACAACAACCAAGUCUUAUCCCACUAAAGUGGGGUCGCCUACAUGGAUCAAAUUACGCCAUAAUGUUCUAUCAAUGACCAUGUUUCUAUUUGAUCAAUGUCAUAGAGAUUCAACAAAGCUUUACGCUAACUGUCGACUGCCUAUCUCAACACUCUUCUUUUAUCCGGACUUGAGACCGCUAU